rnacentral:rRNA from 1 species
UCCGGUUGAUCCUGCCGGAGCCACUGCUAUCGGUUUUCGAUUAAGCCAUGCGAGUCGAGAGGUGCAAGACCUCGGCAUACUGCUCAGUAACACGUGGACAACCUACCCUGAGGAGGGGGAUAACCCCGGAAAACUGGGGAUAAUACCCCAUAGGCCAGGGAUGCUGGAAUGCCUCCUGGUUGAAAGGUCCGCCGCCUCAGGAUGGGUCUGCGGCCGAUUAGGUUGUUGUUGGGGUAACGGCCCAACAAGCCAUUGAUCGGUACGGGUUGUGGGAGCAAGAGCCCGGAGAUGGAUUCUGAGACACGAAUCCAGGCCCUACGGGGCGCAGCAGGCGCGAAAAACUUUACAAUGCGAGAAAUCGUGAUAAGGGAACCCCGAGUGCCCGUAAAUUCGGGCUGUCCAUCAGUGUAAAAAACUGGUGAAGAAAAGGGCCGGGCAAGACCGGUGCCAGCCGCCGCGGUAAUACCGGCGGCUCGAGUGGUGGCCGCUAUUAUUGGGCUUAAAGCGUCCGUAGCUGGGUUGUUAAGUCUCCUGGGAAAUCCACCGGCUCAACCGGUGGGCGUUCGGGAGAAACUGGCAACCUAGGGACCGGGAGAGGUGAGAGGUACUCCAGGGGUAGGAGUGAAAUCCUGUAAUCCUUGGGGGACCACCUGUGGCGAAGGCGUCUCACUAGAACGGCUCCGACAGUGAGGGACGAAAGCUGGGGGAGCAAACCGGAUUAGAUACCCGGGUAGUCCCAGCUGUAAACGAUGCGCGUUAGGUGUAUCGGUGACCACGAGUCACCGAGGUGCCGAAGGGAAACCGUGAAACGUGCCGCCUGGGAAGUACGGUCGCAAGGCUGAAACUUAAAGGAAUUGGCGGGA